ACGAAUCCAUCCAUCCCGAGCCCCCGUGUCUCCGCCCUGUGCGCCGUGCUCCAGGACCCACUCCUCUCUCUCACCCCACGAACUCACCUUCUUCCUCCAUGCCCCAGCGAGAUCCGCUGUGCUCCCCCAGUCCACCUCCGACGACGUACCCCAUACCCUGACCGGCAGCGAAGCAUCCUGCGCGAGCAGAUGCGCUCCCCCGCACCCGACCGGCGUCGACACGGGCCGCGCCCCGCUUCUCCCUCCCGGCGUCGUCCCGCGCACCGCCGCGUCGACCCCUCGUCGGGUCGAUGCAUCCCGCGGUUGGGACCUUCGAUUCAUGUCGGAUCCGGGCCCUUCCCGUCCUACGACUACAACAAAAGAAGGUAGGGGCCCCUCUGGCCGCCCGCCUCAGAUUCCAACCAGCGAUGCCCCCUCUGCUUGCACGCUCCUCGAAGAUCCCCUACAGUCCCCAUCCAAGCGCGCACAGCACAUGGGGCUCGGCCGCACACGGGAUCAGCAUGCCGCGGCGCGGCGCUCAGAUGCCAUGGUGGGGGCUGCCCACACUUGCGCGUUUAUUUCGUUGCGCCCAGCCCACCUGCAGGUAUAACCCUGCGGUGGCUAGCUGUCCUGUGCAUGCCCUUGGCCUGCAUCCGAUUCUGCUCUACACCCCACUACGAGGAUGCCGAUGCAGAGGAAGCAGUGCAGGAGUUGCUCACAUGGGCCUGAUACAAAAAACGAUACUAGCUGCACAUGGAUCUGGGAAAAACAAGGGAGAAGACUUGGAAGAAGGUGCAAUCAGAUGGUGAAAAAACAAGCCGUUGCAGGGUCCUUCCGAUUGUGGAGGAGGAAAUGAUCCACUAUUUGCAUGGGGGAGAAGAAGAAGAAGGGCAUGAGGGUUCUUAGUGCCUUGUCAUGCCAUCAGAGGAGAUGGGGCGAGAUGGAGCUUUCAUCUGGAUUGAGAUCCAGGAGGAAGAAGACCAGGGAGAUGUCAGAGCCAUGUGUUGGGUUGGGGGGAAAGAUAGUGUGUGGGACUUUUAUACGCCCCUGUUUGGAAUGGGAGACCUCUCUUUUUUUUUGGUUUGUGCGUCACGCGGCCAACAGUUGUGAUUUUCCUUUUUGGUUCCUCUUUGAGAAAGUUUUCCUUAAAUGGGGUGUGUGCCACAGAACGCUAGGGAGCACAUGGGUGCUCCCUAGUCACGUCCUAAAACCUAAAUUCUAAAAAGUGCAGCUGCACUUUUUAGAGGUCCUGAGCACACACCCUUUCCUACCGUCCUAUUAAAAUCGCGGUUCCAGGUGCUGGGCGGUCGGUGCCGAAAGCCCAACACAAACGAAUCCAUCCAUCCCGAGCCCUCGUAUCUCCGCCCUGUGCGCCUGUGCUCCAGGACCCACUCCUCUCUCUCACCCCACGAACUCACCUUCUUCCUUCAUGUCCCACCAGUCCACCUCCGACGAUGUACCCCAUACCCUGAUUUAUGCCCAUGGUGUGUUCAGAUUAGUAUUUAAACUGUCAUUUUAUCAGUGCCGAUAGUGUUAGGAAUUGAGAAUUGCUAGCUUUAGUACAGUUUGUCUACUAUUGUGCAUUAUUGGUAAACGAGCCAGGAGAAAUUGCAUGUAGUGAGAUAGAAGAGGUGCCUAAAAUACUACACCUUAUCUACUGUUGCACAAGAACUAACAAAAAUUCCAUACGGUGGUACUAUUUGUUGUUCAUGAUUGUGUAGCAGUUCGUCAAAACAAGGAGGGUUGUAAUCUCGAUGUGGGGCUGUUUUCUGGAAUAUGUGCACAUCGUAAAACUCCUGGAACGAUUUUUUCAGUUGAUACAAUGAUUAAACCAUAUACAGUGUACCUUUUCUUUGUCCAAGAUUGGGCACUUAUAUGCACUAUCCAAGAUGCAGCCUAGGAUUGCAUCACUGCAUACAUCAAGAAGGCUAUAUUACUGUGGUUUUGUUCUUGGUGUUUUACGAGCACAUUUAGGCAUGAAAUGAGAAUCAUAGGUGUUGG